GACGAUAGCGAUGAGGUCCCACCUGUUCUCAUACCGAACACAGAAGUUAAGCUCAUUAGCGCCGAAAAUACUUAGCUGGAGACGGCUCGGGAAAAUAGGUAGUUGCU
rnacentral:rRNA from 1 species